rnacentral:pre_miRNA from 1 species
UUUUUAAUGUAAGUAUGUCCCAUGUAACAUUUAGGAUAUAUUUAUACUAAAA